rnacentral:rRNA from 1 species
GUGUCAGCAGCCGCGGUAAGACGAACCGUGCAAACGUUGUUCGGAAUCACUGGGCUUAAAGGGCGCGUAGGCGGGCCAGCCAGUCUGUGGUGAAAGCCUCCAGCUUAACUGGAGAAGUGCCGUGGAUACUGCUGGCCUCGAGGAGGAUAGGGGCAUCUGGAACGGUCGGUGGAGCGGUGAAAUGCGUUGAUAUCGACCGGAACUCCGGUGGCGAAGGCGAGGUGCUGGGUCCUUUCUGACGCUGAUGCGCGAAAGCCAGGGGAGCAAACGGGAUUAGAUACCCCCGUAGUCC